AUGGAAAAAAUGAAGGACACGCCGGUACCAGAAGGUGAAGAGCCAAAAUCUGCUGCUGAAAUUGUUGAAGAAGUGCUUAAGACUGAAGUCAAGCAAAGCACAUUCCUCAGGAAUGUUGGGCUCCAGUCAUCUAGGAAAAACUCCGGGAAAGCAACUGCUGCUAUGGCUGCUCAUAUUCGUGAUCUUGAGCAGAAGUUGGAGAGGUCAGAGCUUCAAGCUGAAGUGAUGCAAGAAGAAUUGGCGGCAAUCAAGAUGAAGGUGGAAGGAGCUGAAGCUACACGCCGCAAGGAACUUGAGCUGCUGCGCAAGAAGUCUCAAGAGCAGGAUGAGAAGUUAGCUCACUUGAUGGCUCUCUUUGGAGCUAAA
rnacentral:rRNA from 1 species